CACACAAUGAAAGCCGUGUCGUCUUUAGAGAAAAAAAAAAAAAAAAAAAAAAAAAAAAAAA
rnacentral:ribozyme from 1 species